rnacentral:rRNA from 1 species
UACGUAGGGUGCAAGCGUUAAUCGGAAUUACUGGGCAUAAAGCGUGCGCAGGCGGCUUUGCAAGACAGAUGUGAAAUCCCCGGGCUUAACUUGGGAACUGCAUUUGUGACUGCAUGGCUGGAGUGCGGCAGAGGGGGAUGGAAUUCCGCGUGUAGCAGUGAAAUGCGUAGAUAUGCGGAGGAACACGGAUGGCGAAGGCAAUCCCCUGGGCCUGCACUGACGCUCAUGCACGAAAGCGUGGGGAGCAAACAGG